UGCAGCCUUGUCAAAUUCAGUGGGAUUCUUUUUCAUGGACCUCACUGGCCAAAAUGGCUGCUACAGUAACUGUAGUUCAUGGGCCCCAUGUCUUUGUUGUGAGAGGUGGGGAUAAAUAUAUACUACAGACAAAC
rnacentral:snoRNA from 1 species